rnacentral:rRNA from 1 species
AUGGCGACGCGCUUCUCCGCCGCCGUGCUGCCUUUGCUCCUAGGCUUUCUGCUCCUGCAAGGAGCACCGUCGCGCGCCGCCGAUACAGACACCGUCGUCAUCGGCCGGCCGCUGUCAGGCCGACAGAGGCUGGUGUCCAAGCGCGGCAAGUUCGCGCUCGGCUUCUUCCAGCCAGCAGAAUCCUCGCAGAACUGGUACCUCGGCAUUUGGUACAACCAAAUCUCCAAGCACACCACGGUGUGGGUCGCCAACCGGGACGCGCCGGUCUCCGACCCAGCUUCCGCGCAGCUCUCUAUCUCCAGCGACGGCAACAUGGUCCUCCUCCACGGCGACCGUGCCAAGUCCCCGGCACUCUGGUCCACAGGCGUCGCGGGCAUCGCACCCAGCAGCUCCACGGUCGGCGUCCUGCUCGACACGGGCAACCUCGUCCUCGCGGACGCGUCCAACACCUCCGUCGUGCUCUGGCAGAGCUUCGACCACUUCGGCGACACGUGGCUGCCCGGCGGCAGGCUCGGCCGAAACAAGCGCACCGGCGAGGUCACGCGCCUCUUCGCGUGGAAGGGCUACGACGACCCGGCGCCGGGCGUGUUCGCGCUCGAGCUCGACCCGAACGGCACGAGCCAGUAUCUGCUCAACUGGAACGGCAGCAUGGAGUACUGGACCAGCGGCAACUGGACCGGCGACGGGUUCACCGGCGUGCCGGAGUUGAAGGCCUAUAGCAGCUCCCCGAUGUCCAUGUACAAAUUCGGCUACGUCGACGGCAAGGACGAGAGCUACUUCUUCUACGACGUCAAGGACGAGGCCGUCGUGACGCGGUUCCUGGUGGACGUGACGGGUCAGAUCAAGUUCCUGACGUGGGUGGAGUCUGCCGGCGCGUGGAUCCUCUUCUGGACGCAGCCCAAGGCGCAGUGCGACGUCUACGCGCUGUGCGGGGCCUUCGCCGCGUGCGUAGAGAAUGAGCUGCCGUCGUGCCGCUGCCUCCGCGGAUUCCGGGAGAGGCGCCCGCUGGCAUGGCUACAGGGCAACCAUGCUGAGGGCUGCGUCCGGGACACCGCGCUGCAGCAGUGCGCGCGCGGCGGCGGCGUCCAGGGCGCUACGCGCGAGGCGAAGAACGACGACGGUUUUUAUGCCAUGCCCAACUUGAGGCUCCCGAGCGACGCGCAGGGUGUGGUGGCCGCGGCGAGUGCUCACGACUGCGAGCUCGCGUGUCUUGGCGACUGCUUCUGCACCGCGUACUCUCACAACGGCAGCUGCUGGCUAUGGCACGGAGGCCUCAUCAACCUGCAAGACACGAGCAGCACUGCCACCGGAGGUAACAGUGGCACCAUCAUGGUCCGGCUGGCUGCGUCUGAGCUCACUAGCCCAGGGCGCACCAAGACAGUGAUCAUUGCGCUCGUCGCCGUCGCGGCGGCCGUGGCCGCGGUCACCGUUGCCGUUCUCGUGUCAGCCUUCGUUCUGAGGAGGAGAAGGGUGAAGGCGCAAAGAAGAGUCGUGGAAGGUUCCCUGAUGGCGUUGACGUACCGCGACAUGCAGUCCGUGACCAACAACUUCUCGGACAAGCUCGGCGGCGGCUCCUUCGGGUCGGUGUUCAAAGGGUCACUCCCCGACGCGACCGCGACGCUGGUCGCGGUGAAGAAGCUCGAGGGCGUGCGUCAGGGGGAGAAGCAGUUCCGCGCGGAGGUGAGCACCAUCGGCACCAUCCAGCACGUCAACCUCAUCCGGCUGCUCGGGUUCUGCUCCGAGGGGACAAGGAGGCUGCUCGUCUACGAGCACAUGCCCAACGGCUCCCUGGACAGGCACCUCUUCGGGUCCAGCUCCAGCCCCGGCCAUGGCGUCCUGAGCUGGGAGACGAGGUACCAGAUCGCUCUGGGCAUCGCGAGGGGACUGGACUACCUGCACGACAAGUGCAGGGACUGCAUCAUACACUGCGACAUCAAGCCGGAGAACAUCCUCCUGGACGACGCGUUCGCCGUCAAGGUGGCGGACUUCGGGCUGGCCAAGCUCAUGGGCCGGGACAUCAGCCGCGUGCUAACGACGAUGAGGGGCACGGUCGGGUACCUCGCGCCCGAGUGGAUAACCGGCACGGCCAUCACGGCCAAGGCCGACGUGUUCAGCUACGGCAUGCUGCUGUUCGAGAUCGUGUCCGGCAGGAGGAACGUGGAGCAGCGGCCGGACGGCACCGUGGACUUCUUCCCGUCGACGGCCGCCAGCCGGCUCCUGGACGGCGACGUGAAGAGCACGGUGGACAGGCGGCUCGACGGCCACGCCGACAUUGGCGAGGUGGAGCGGGCGUGCAAGGUGGCAUGCUGGUGCGUGCAGGACGAGGAGGGCGCGCGGCCGAGCAUGGGGACGGUGGUGCAGGCGCUCGAGGGGCUCGUCGAUGUCACCAUGCCGCCUGUCCCGAGAAUGCUCAAAGUGCUCGGGGAUCCAGCCAACUAUGUCAAGUUCUUUUCAGGGUUGCCGUCCACGUGA